rnacentral:lncRNA from 1 species
AUGACCAAAAUGUUGAAUCUUAAUCCUGUAAAAAAUGUCAGUGACAUAAAAUCGCUCAGAUAUUUGUAUGAUAAUUGUGAGAUCCAAAUUCGUAGUCUGGCUUCAAUGGGAGUCGUCUCUGACACGUAUGGUAGCUUACUGUGCCCCAUUCUAAUGAAGCUCAUUCCCGAAGAGAUAACAUUAGACUUCAGCAAACAAGUUGAAGAGGAUGAUGUCUGGAAAGUGGAAGAACUGAUGAGCUUCAUUCAAAAGGAAGUGGACAGCCGGGAGCGCACGGCCAACAUGUCUAAAAGCGGAAAAGAGCGCACAAGUGCGGAACGUGAAAAGGAAACACCAGGCGCAUGGGAAAUGCGAACAAGACGACAUAACACAAUGACAACGUCUACCCUUUAUGCGGCGAACCAAAUGGACAGACAAUAUUGUUUUUUUUGUGAGAAAAAUAAUCACCAGUCUAAACACUGCCAUGAAAUGUCUGUGCCUGAGAAAAAAGAAAAGUUAAAAAAUCAAGGAAGAUGCUUUGUGUGUUUUGGAACGAGACAUGUUGCCAAGGAUUGUCGCACUAAAGGUAUCUCUUGUGAGAAAUGUAAUCGACGUCAUCACCAAGCUGUGUGCUCCUAUGAUGGGCGUGAAUUCAGAAAAGAAAAUGAACCGGCAGAUGCCGUGAUGUCCAUGUCUCCCAGUGAAUCAAAGCGAGAAUCAGUUCUCCUUCAGACCGCUACUGUCUGGAUAGAAACUCCAGUUACAAGGCAACUCACCCGCUGUCUACUGGACGGAGGGAGUCAGCGAAGCUUUGUGCGUAAAGAUAUCUCCAGUGCGCUCAACCUCCCCAAAGUAGGUGAAGAGACUCUAAAGUUACACACGUUUGGCUCUAGUGUCCCACAAAAUAUCACCUGUAAUAAAGUAAAAUUAACACUGAGCAACAUCAGAGAUGGCCAAAGUGUACAGUUAGAAGUGUUGGAAAUCCCAAGAGUGUGCUCUUCCAUUGUGAGAGUAGCGGGAGAGGAAGUGCGCAGAGAACUGGAGCGAAAAGGCCUGCAGCUGGCUGACACUUCAGUGAGCGGAAUGGAGACGCAGGAGCUUGGAGUCCUCAUCGGUGGCGAUCACUACUGGAAAAUUGUGACAGGAAAAUUGGAGCGACUCUCAGAGUCUCUGGUAGCGGGUAAAAGUCAGCCGCAGGUUCCAUAUUCGCUGGAUAUUCGGUUUUCAUUUACCCCGCAAUCAGCUUUAUCAACCCAAUUGCAUUUCAUUACGGCUGUAGUUUGUUGA